rnacentral:tRNA from 4 species
CGCGGGGUAGAGCAGUUGGUAGCUCGUCGGGCUCAUAACCCGAAGGUCGGAGGUUCAAGUCCUCCCCCCGCAA